CCAAUCGUCCACAUGGCUGGGAGAACCUAUUCAACUAAGUAAACACAUUUAGAAAAUGUAAAGGAAAAAAACGAUGUAUUAUUAGCUAACUAGCUACAGUGCAGGCUAACUCAAAUGUGCUGUAAACGUAGCUAGAUAGAUAUCUAGCCAACUUUUCAGAUUUUAUAGAUAGCUAAGUCAAUUAAAUCAUCACCAGCUACCUAACUUCAUAUUAGCUAUCUUGAUGUAUUUAUCACUGUAAAAAAACAAACUCCAAAUGUAUUUGUAGGUAGCUAGCUAACAACCAUGGUGGAGGGUGAAAGGAUAGCAGCCCCAGCUGUCAGUGAGCGAGGCUAUUCUGGAUAGGGCAGGUACUUUUGUAGUUCCAGUUCCUAGAAGUCAGGACAGAGAUAACAGUAACAUAAUAUUCAGUGUGGUGUAUUUUGACUAUAAUGAAGUAUGUUUCUUGUGAGGUUUUUCUGUCCUCAGAAAAAUAGAGCUGUGAAAUCCUAUCUACACAUGAAGAGAUCCCAAAUGAAGAGCAGUGGUUCUCAGUCCUGGGGACUCAAAGAGGAGCACAUUGUUGUUUUUGCCUCAGCACUGCACAGCUGAUUCAAAUGAUCAAGUCAUCAUCAAGCUUCAAGUGAUACCUUGUAACUGGGGAUACCUUCAAAACGAUUGCCUACAUUUACCAUGUAGGGGCACUGCAAGGUUGGGUGACCAGGGCCAUCUGGGACUGCCUCCUGGGGGGGAUUCAGGCGUGUGAAGGCUACCUGUGUCCUGCAUAACUUCAUGAGGAUGGACACGAGGACCAGGAUGGGAUAAGAUUCCUGUUGAACACUGUACAUUUAACUUCCUUAUUUUCUCAAUAACAGUCUCUCCCCUUUUCCCUAAAUCCUCUAGGUUAUAUCAGCUGUGUCGGUGAACCCCUCCUGCAUCUGAACUGGCUACAUAGAGGGCAACAGAAUGAUCAGAGGUAUGUUUUGACGUGAGAGGGGAUGCCAACCCCCAGUCAUCGCCACCUCACCUGCUCUUAAGAUAAACUUCGGUCCGACUGGGAGCCCAAGGCUGGCUAGGAGACACAACUAGAGAAACUAUUAUAUAAUUGUGAUGAACUGAGAGAAUAUUAAGGUAGCACAGCAAUUCAUUAAUCAUUAGCUGUCUUCCCUGCUCUUACCUCUUUCUCUUUGUCUUUUAGACCUCUCGUCACCUCUUCUUUCUUCCUCUGUUUUUAUAAUGAACACCAGAUGUGCAUUGAAGUACAGAUUGAACUUGUAUUUAUAAUAUAUUACAAUUAUAAUAUUUAUAAUGCAUGUAUUAUGUAUUUAUAACCCUUGGAUAAUGAACUUCUUUCAAUAAAGUGUUUCACAUUCUCUCCUGGUUGAAAUUAAGUCUCAUUUGAUGAAAUACUACACCUAUCCUGUUUUUAUCAGAUCAAUGCAGAUGAAGGAAAUUAGAUACUGAGAUGAACCGGUUGGAGAGUAUUUACAUGAUGCAUAAGAAGUGGAGUGUACUGUUUUUUAAAAUUAUAUAUAUAUAUAUGA